AGCUAAAUUAGUUUAACAAUAUAACGCCAGCCUGUGGAGCUGGAGAUGAGAACCUUUCUCAUUUAGCUA
rnacentral:tRNA from 1 species